CAAGCGGUGGCGCAGGGACCGAUCCGCGAGAAGCCGCUGCCGGCGGUGUGUAAAUAUCCGAGUUUGGGCCGAGAUCACCUCGGGGCCGCGGUGGCAGAGCGGGAAGGUUACACAGAGCUGUGGGGAGCGGUUCGGCCGAGCUCCGGGGCAGCAGAGGAAUGAUUUUCAAAAGGAAUCCAUGCAGUGAAUGUGAUGAACCACCAAUCUGCCUGAUGCUACUACCCCAGCUCUGUCCUUCAUCAGAUUAAAUUCUCGUCUUACUUCACUGGGCAGCAACAGAAAGUGAACUUGAAUAGCAUAUCUAAUACAGACAAAUAAGGGAAGAGGUAUUACUGAAAACAUUGUCAUAUGCUCUAUUCUGUGGUUAUGUGUUUAUAACCAUGAGCAGUCUAGUGUAUGUUAAUACUGCUGGGACUCUUGAUGAGAACUGACUUCCUCGGAGUCACAGGUCAGCACUGGACAGUUACCUUAGAGAUUCUGGCAUGCUGUGAUAAUAGCCACAUGCUCCAGCCACUAGAAAUGCUUCUUUUAAGAAUAUAGUCUUAUUCUUGCCUUCUUUCCUUCCUUUCAUGGUGAGCCUCACUUUAUUCUUAACAGUUCUUGGAGUUCAAGCUUUGAUGAAGUGCCGUAUUUAAAUCCUUUUGUAUUAAUGGAGCUCUUUUGUGCAUGAAAUUAGAAGUUGGUCCUGAAAGUGUAACUCAUGUCUGGACAGGGCAGA